rnacentral:rRNA from 1 species
AUUGAACGCUGGCGGCAUGCCUUACACAUGCAAGUCGAACGGCAGCACGGGUGCUUGCACCUGGUGGCGAGUGGCGAACGGGUGAGUAAUACAUCGGAACGUACCUUAUCGUGGGGGAUAACGCAGCGAAAGCUGUGCUAAUACCGCAUACGCCCUGAGGGGGAAAGCGGGGGAUCGCAAGACCUCGCGCGAUUAGAGCGGCCGAUGCCUGAUUAGCUUGUUGGUGGGGUAAAAGCCCACCAAGGCGACGAUCAGUAGCUGGUCUGAGAGGACGGUCAGCCACACUGGGACUGAGACACGGCCCAGACGCCUACGGGAAGCAGCAGUGGGGAAUUUUGGAGAAUGGGGGCAACCCUGAUCCAGCAAUGCCGCGUGAGUGAAGAAGGCCUUCGGGUUGUAAAGCCCUUUUGUCAGGGAAGAAACACCGGCUCUAACACAGUCUGGGAAUGACGGUACCUGAAGAAUAAGCACCGGCUAACUACGUGCCAGCCGCCGCCGUAA